AAUUGUUUGACUGAAUGCCAAAGUAGCUACCUUGAAAGUAGAGCAAAAAGGUUAAAUUCCUUUAACAAUUU
rfam:Orchesella cincta Ocin01_Sc0948, whole genome shotgun sequence.